UUGGUUAAGUUAGAAAGGGCGCACGGUGGAUGCCUUGGCACUAGGAGCCGAAGAAGGACGGGACUAACACCGAUAUGCUUUGGGGAGCUGUACGUAAGCGUUGAUCCAGAGAUUUCCGAAUGGGGGAACCCACUAUCUUUAGUCGGAUAGUAUCCUUACGUGAAUACAUAGCGUGAGGAAGGCAGACCCAGGGAACUGAAACAUCUAAGUACCUGGAGGAAGAGAAAGAAAAAUCGAUUUCCUGAGUAGCGGCGAGCGAAACGGAAAGAGCCCAAACCAAGAAGCUUGCUUCUUGGGGUUGUAGGACACUCUAUACGGAGUUACAAAAGAAAGUUAUAAAUGAAGCGGUCUGGAAAGGCCCGCCAAAGACGGUAACAGCCCGGUAGUUGAAAUGGCUUUCCCUCCAGAGUGGAUCCUGAGUACGGCGGAACACGUGAAAUUCCGUCGGAAUCCGGGAGGACCAUCUCCCAAGGCUAAAUACUCCCUAGUGACCGAUAGUGAACCAGUACCGUGAGGGAAAGGUGAAAAGCACCCCGGAAGGGGAGUGAAACAGUUCCUGAAACCGUGUGCCUACAAGUAGUUAGAGCCCGUUAAUGGGUGAUAGCGUGCCUUUUGUAGAAUGAACCGGCGAGUUACGAUUUGUUGCAAGGUUAAGCGGAAAAAGCGGAGCCGUAGCGAAAGCGAGUCUGAAUAGGGCGCAUAAGUAACAGGUCGUAGACCCGAAACCAGGUGAUCUACCCAUGUCCAGGAUGAAGGUAAGGUAAUACUUACUGGAGGUCCGAACCCACGCACGUUGAAAAGUGCGGGGAUGAGGUGUGGGUAGCGGAGAAAUUCCAAUCGAACUUGGAGAUAGCUGGUUCUCUCCGAAAUAGCUUUAGGGCUAGCCUCGAGGUAAAGAGUCAUGGAGGUAGAGCACUGUUUGGACUAGGGGCCCUUCUCGGGUUACCGAAUUCAGAUAAACUCCGAAUGCCAUGUACUUAUACUCGGGAGUCAGACUGCGAGUGAUAAGAUCCGUAGUCGAAAGGGAAACAGCCCAGACCACCAGUUAAGGUCCCCAAAUAUAUGUUAAGUGGAAAAGGAUGUGGGGUUGCUUAGACAACCAGGAUGUUGGCUUAGAAGCAGCCACCAUUGAAAGAGUGCGUAAUAGCUCACUGGUCGAGUGACCCCGCGCCGAAAAUGUACCGGGGCUAAACAUAUUACCGAAACUGUGGAUGAACCUCUUUAGAGGUUCGUGGUAGGAGAGCGUUCUAAGGGCGGUGAAGUCAGACCGGAAGGACUGGUGGAGCGCUUAGAAGUGAGAAUGCCGGUAUGAGUAGCGAAAGAAGGGUGAGAAUCCCUUCCACCGAAUAUCUAAGGUUUCCUGAGGAAGGCUCGUCCGCUCAGGGUUAGUCGGGACCUAAGCCGAGGCCGAUAGGCGUAGGCGAUGGACAACAGGUAGAGAUUCCUGUACCAGUGCUAAUUGUUUAACCGAUGGGGUGACACAGAAGGAUAGGGAAUCGCACGAAUGGAAAUGUGCGUCCAAGCAGUGAGUGUGAGAAGUAGGCAAAUCCGCUUCUCGCGAAGCAUGAGCUGUGAUGGGGAAGGAAAUUAAGUACGGAAGUUCCUGAUUUCACGCUGUCAAGAAAAGCCUCUAGGAAGAGUAGUACUGCCCGUACCGCAAACCGACACAGGUAGAUGAGGAGAGAAUCCUAAGGUGAGCGAGAGAACUCUCGUUAAGGAACUCGGCAAAAUGACCCCGUAACUUCGGGAGAAGGGGUGCUCUAUUAGGGUGCAAGCCCGAGAGAGCCGCAGUGAAUAGGCCCAGGCGACUGUUUAGCAAAAACACAGGUCUCUGCAAAACCGUAAGGUGACGUAUAGGGGCUGACGCCUGCCCGGUGCUGGAAGGUUAAGAGGAGUGCUUAGCUUCGGCGAAGGUACGAAUUGAAGCCCCAGUAAACGGCGGCCGUAACUAUAACGGUCCUAAGGUAGCGAAAUUCCUUGUCGGGUAAGUUCCGACCCGCACGAAAGGCGCAACGAUCUGGGCACUGUCUCAACGAGAGACUCGGUGAAAUUAUAGUACCUGUGAAGAUGCAGGUUACCCGCGACAGGACGGAAAGACCCCGUGGAGCUUUACUGCAACCUGAUAUGGAAUGUUUGUACCGCUUGUACAGGAUAGGUAGGAGCCGAAGAGACGUGUGCGCUAGCAUACGAGGAGGCAAUGGUGGGAUACUACCCUGGCUGUAUGACCAUUCUAACCCGCCACGCUUAGCGCGUGGGGAGACAGUGUCAGGUGGGCAGUUUGACUGGGGC
rnacentral:rRNA from 1 species